GACGAACGCUGGCGGCGUGCUUAACACAUGCAAGUCGAACGGAAAGGCCCUGCUUGCAGGGUACUCGAGUGGCGAACGGGUGAGUAACACGUGGGUGAUCUGCCCUGCACUUCGGGAUAAGCCUGGGCAACUGGGUCUAAUACCGGACAGGAGCCAUUUUUAGUGUGAUGGUUGGAAAGUUUUUUCGGUGUUGGGUGAGCUCGCGGCCUAUCGGCUUGCUGCUGGGGUAAUGGCUUACCAAGGCGGCGACGUGUAGCCGCCCUGAGAGGGUGGACGGCCACAUUGAGACUGAGAGGCGGCCCAGGCACCGACGGGAGGCAGCAGGGGGGAAGAUUGCACAAUGGGCGCAAGCCGGAUGCAGCGACGCCGCGUGGGGGAUGACGGCCUUCGGGUUGUAGACUCCUUGCGCUAGGGACGAAGCAUGUUGUGACGGUACCUAGAUAAGAAGCACCGGCUAACUACGUG
rnacentral:rRNA from 1 species